rnacentral:miRNA from 1 species
UACUGUGGCGCCCGCUCGCUCUCGGCCACGGCUGGCAGAAGCGCCCCUCCCCUCUCCCCCAACUCGACUCAAGCGAGCU